CUGACGUCUGUGCUUUCCCAGCAGCACACUAAAUGGUGUCACAGGAAGACUUUCUUCUACUGCCAGCUUGAAAAAAUCUGGACUCUUUGGAGAGCCAUGAGACUGCAGCAAUAUGUUCAGAAAGGGGAUCAGCCUGCAGAACUACGACGUUGAGCAUAUAAUGGAGCAUUGAUGGGAUAGUAUGCCAGGAAAACAUGGAUUUUUGGACAGAGGUUACAGAGGACCAAGAUGUGUAUUUCGUAGUACAGGACUUUGAUUCACCCCUGGAUUAAUGGGGGAAAAGAGAAGUGCUAUCAACACUCUACUUGUACGCUCCAUGAUACAGAUUUAAGGAUGGGAGGUACAAGAGACAUAAGCAAGGUGCAGCAGAGAACACCAUCAGAGGACAUGGAGAUGCACUCGAUAGGAGACCCCAACCGA